GCUCCUGUAGUUCAACGGAUAGAACACGGGCCUCCGAAGCUCGAGAUCCAAGUUCGAUUCUUGGCGGGAGCA
rnacentral:tRNA from 1 species